AUUGAACGCUGGCGGCAGGCUUAACACAUGCAAGUCGAGCGGAGAUGAGGUGCUUGCACCUUAUCUUAGCGGCGGACGGGUGAGUAAUGCUUAGGAAUCUGCCUAUUAGUGGGGGACAACAUUCCGAAAGGAAUGCUAAUACCGCAUACGUCCUACGGGAGAAAGCAGGGGAUCUUCGGACCUUGCGCUAAUAGAUGAGCCUAAGUCGGAGUAGCUAGUUGGUGGGGUAAAGGCCUGCCAAGGCGACGAUCUGUAGCGGGUCUGAGAGGAUGAUCCGCCACACUGGGACUGAGACACGGCCCAGACUCCUACGGGAAGCAGCAGUGGGGAAUAUUGGACAAUGGGGGGAACCCUGAUCCAGCCAUGCCGCGUGUGUGAAGAAGGCCUUAUGGUUGUAAAGCACUUUAAGCGAGGAGGAGGCUACUGAGACUAAUACUCUUGGAUAGUGGACGUUACUCGCAGAAUAAGCACCGGCUAACUCUGUGCCAGCAGCCGCAGUAA
rnacentral:rRNA from 1 species